rnacentral:misc_RNA from 1 species
GGGGGGGUGGUGGUGCAGAUUUUGGCUUCUCUGUGGAGGAAUGAGGAACCGAGAGAGCCACAGUCGAGAGAGACUCUUGUCUUGAAUCAGUUUUGAAAGGCAGACAACCACAGCCNNAGAGGCACACACACAAACGCAGUCACACAGCUCGACUCGACUCGACUCUACAGUGUGGAUUCGACAGAUGAGGUAGAUAAGGUGGAGCAGGAGAAGCGAGAGUCGAUUAUCGAUAGUCUAGACUCGACAACCGACGACAGUGGUGGAGAAGCUAGCCGAGAACGAGAACUGAGAAGAGAUGAGAGCGUCUGAGAUAGAGAGCAAGGCAUGCAGCGGAGCAGCAAAAGGAAAGAACAUAAAAUUUU